rnacentral:rRNA from 1 species
UUUAUGGAGAGUUUGAUCCUGGCUCAGGAUGAACGCUGGCGGCGUGCCUAAUACAUGCAAGUCGAGCGAACGGACGAGAAGCUUGCUUCUCUGAUGUUAGCGGCGGACGGGUGAGUAACACGUGGAUAACCUACCUAUAAGACUGGGAUAACUUCGGGAAACCGGAGCUAAUACCGGAUAAUAUUUUAAACCGCAUGGUUCAAAAGUGAAAGACGGUCUUGCUGUCACUUAUAGAUGGAUCCGCGCUGCAUUAGCUAGUUGGUAAGGUAACGGCUUACCAAGGCAACGAUGCAUAGCCGACCUGAGAGGGUGAUCGGCCACACUGGAACUGAGACACGGUCCAGACUCCUACGGGAGGCAGCAGUAGGGAAUCUUCCGCAAUGGGCGAAAGCCUGACGGAGCAACGCCGCGUGAGUGAUGAAGGUCUUCGGAUCGUAAAACUCUGUUAUUAGGGAAGAACAUAUGUGUAAGUAACUGUGCACAUCUUGACGGUACCUAAUCAGAAAGCCACGGCUAACUACGUGCCAGCAGCCGCGGUAAUACGUAGGUGGCAAGCGUUAUCCGGAAUUAUUGGGCGUAAA